GACGAACGCUGGCGGCGUGCCUAAUACAUGCAAGUCGAACGAAGCUGUUUUAACUGGUGCUUGCACCGACUUAAACAACUGAGUGGCGAACGGGUGAGUAACACGUGGGUAACCUGCCCCAAAGCGGGGGAUAACAUUUGGAAACAGAUGCUAAUACCGCAUAAUCACAGAAACCACAUGGUUUCUGUGUCAAAGAUGGUUUCGGCUAUCACUUUGGGAUGGACCCGCGGCGUAUUAGCUAGUUGGUAAGGUAAUGGCUUACCAAGGCAAUGAUACGUAGCCGAACUGAGAGGUUGAUCGGCCACAUUGGGACUGAGACACGGCCCAAACUCCUACGGGAGGCAGCAGUAGGGAAUCUUCCACAAUGGACGAAAGUCUGAUGGAGCAACGCCGCGUGAGUGAAGAAGGUUUUCGGAUCGUAAAACUCUGUUGUCAGAGAAGAACGUGUGCGAGAGUAACUGUUCGUGCAGUGACGGUAUCUGGCCAGAAAGCCACGGCUAACUACGUGCCAGCCGCCGCGGUAA
rnacentral:rRNA from 1 species